UUGGUACAACCAGGAUUAUGUAAGUCUUCAUGCUUCCUUUAGGAAAUGAAGGGAUCGUUUCUUGGUACCGCCAGCUGCUGCUUCCAUACGUGUGUGUCUUUGUAAGUAUGUAUGUUUAAGUCUCUGGAGUGACAUAGACAAUGAGCAUGUCUUUGUGAACGGACAUCUUUACUGCUGAAAAUAAUACAACUUCCAGCUGUGCUGCUUUCCUUUCUUCCAAAGUAUGCAAAAAUGCAGUGGGGGAGGGAAGGCAGAAUUGUUUGUUGUCUGAAUGUCUGCAGUGUGUUCCAGGAGAUGUAUUGCUCUGCUUCCAGCGCAGAAUUGAAGGGAGGGUGGGACGAGAAACAAAGCUAUUAAUUCUUUCUCGUUAUUUCUGAACUGUUGUGAGCCUUCAGUUUUUGAGCAUUAUCUGAUCGAUUAUCUGAUCCUUUUGGACUGACGGAAGAAAAGUAUAUCAAAGAAGCAGAGCUUUUCUAACAGUCCAACUCGGGAUAUUCUAUCAUUGCAUAUUGUAGUCUACCCGGCAGUAGGUAGUUCUGAUGAAUGCACUCCAAAUGUCAUACACAGUUGCAACGUUCUGCAGGGAAAAAAAUGUUAUGUAGGAGUGAAUCAUAGCAAAUUAUAAUGACAGAAUGCUGACAUUUACAGCUGACCUCACUGUUUUGAAUCAGAGGAAACUGUUUCCAAUGACAGCUUUGAACAGCAAUGUUUUCAAAACUCUUGAAAGCUGAGUGGAAUUGUUUUUGUUUGGAAAAUCUAUCACAUUUGUGCAAAGAUUGUAUGGCCUCCAACCACUUGAUCCAGAACUGCAGUGAGUUUUCUGAAGCAGAUGAAGUGCCAAUGAAUUGAUGAGUGCACAACUACAGGACUUUCUGCCACCCCUCUCUCUCAGCAGUUCUGCGGUCCAGGAGGACUUUAGAAAUUUCUACCUGAAUUACUUGAUGACUUUGGUCAGCAUUUGAGGCUUACAGUGUUGCGUAUAUACGUGUAUAAUGACUGUUUGUGUCAGUCUAAAAUGGCUAACCAGAUGUGCACAUUUCACAGUGUCCGCUGAAACCAGCAGGAUGGCUGCAGCUGGGCCUUUCUUCACCCGAGAGCCGGAGUCUGAACGUGCCACACUUCCCCAUUUUCUGGCUUUGUUGGAAUACACUGCGAUGCAUUCAGCUUUUUCAUUAUACGUGUGUAGAAGCCCUGGAUGUCAGACAAUACGAGGCCUUUUAGCAGCACUUCACACUUUUUGCUUUCCUUUCAAGUCAACAGAAACUCAGCUGCCUGAAGGUGGGUGAGGCCAAACAGCAGCACAAACCUUCCUCUGGAGGAAGGGACCCGAUCCCACUAACCUGCUCCACUGAGGUGCUGUGCAGUUUCAAUGCCAAGACACUGAUUUGAUAACUGUGGUUUCUUCUUACUGACCUGGCCGGGAAAAGCUGCCUUGUUGCUCAACAGCACUUUGUCUUCAUGAUUUAUAUGUUGCUUGACACAGCUAAGCGUGAUGCUGCAGUGUGAGAACUGCUUGCUGGCCGGCCGGCUGCAUGAGCUUCUCCACAGAAAGGUCUGUGCUGUGAACUGCUUUACUACCAACUGGGGCUUCUGCAAGAAAAGAAUGCAUCAGAAACACAAGAAUGUGUACAUUUGUUGUCAUGUUCCAUUCAAAAUAUGUAAAAGGAAAAAAAACUGUAAUUAACGUUGCAUUUAAGCCUGCUUGACUGUACUAAGCAUGACCUACAAGCCCAAGGAAUGCUACUGAGAUUUCCCUGAAAAAUGUUGAAACCGUUUAUUUGCCUGCUGAAUGGACUGAUUUUGAGAUAUGAGCAUGCUUUCCAUCGAAGAACAUCCUGAAAUUAAGUUCAGUUAAUGCCAUUUAUAUUACUCACUCUUCCCUGUUGAACUGGGCGUCCUGGAUUUCAACAUACACUGCUGUGCUGUGUAUUCCAGCUGUGACUGCAGCAGUGCUAAAUGUGUCUGCUUGAUGGAGAGCAUUAGGGGAACUCGGAUGUAGUCCAUCUAUUAGAUGGUUCUCCAGGAGGUGACAUUUCUGCACAGCUCAUCAGUGACAUCCCCUAUUCCCUCUCUUGGCCACAUUUGCAAGCUUCCAAACGUGUUUGUGAAUGUGACCAAAUUCUGGCCCUCGAGAUCAAAGGUCUGUCCACAUCUCUCUCUGGCACUACAGAUCUGGGAUGCUGCAAGCCAGUAUUCAAGAAUCCUGUCAAACUUGAGCAUAUCUGUGAUUUAUAACGUAGAAAACCAUGUAGACUCUCAUCAUACACUUAGUACUCAACAGUCUACAGAAGCAGAACCUACCAAGAAAGCAAAUGUCAAAAAAGCAGCGUGAGCAAAGUUAAGAAUCUUCCACGUAAGGGGAUAUGUUUCUGGCUUGGAGCCAACCGGGGAGAAGAAGAAAUUCCUAAAUAUAGGAGCCCGGAAGGUGUGAAAGAACUGUUGGAUGCUGAAGUAUGUCAGGGACAAGAUUGGUGAUGAGUAAGAGCUUCCGCUGCUGGAAGCAGAGCGUGCUGGCAGGUAGCAGACUCCGUGAUCUUCUGAACAAGGAACAAAUCCUUGCUGAUCCUCUCCUAGUUGUGACAGUAAGUAUAAAUAUAUGAAAUCACCGAAAGAGGGAAUGAUGCUUGAGCACUCGUUUAAGAGUUCUGGCAACCUGACAGCAGUAAGCUCCACUUCCAAGUGAUGUAGAAGCAAUUUUCACUCUUGUGAAAACUCCCAUUUCUGAAAGUAGAUUGCCAAAAUAACUGAUGUUGAUCAUAUGGGACUGUGUGUCAUGCAUCGCAUAUAUCCGCUUAUUUGCUCUUUUUUGAUUUUGGUUUUGUUUAUCCAAAAAUAAUGGUAUCCUAUUGACAAAGGAUUCUUAUUUUUUUGUCAUAAGCACACAGCAAUACAGUGUUUUUUUCACACAGUACAGAGCCAUCCAUGUGUUUCUGUGUCAAGAAAUGCAGCGAUAACUUCUGCUCUGUCUGCUUACAGGAAUAGCUACUGCUUGAUGCCAGUCUGUAUUAUCUGCACUUCCCUCUGUCACUGAGAUGGGCUGGCUCAGCAGAACAAGUAUGAGCACAUAAGAGUGACAUUUUGUGUUUCUGAGGUAGUAAUAUCUUAAUUACUCUUAAAUCGUGAGCUUUUUGAGCAUUUUAUAUAUUGCAUAUACAUAUACAUUACCUAUUAUAUAUAAUAGAAGGGAAAGAUGAUUACAAGCACAAGAGAAGACACAUCACCUAAGAGUGCUGUAAAAGAUCAGUGUGGAGGUAGAAACUCCUGUGAAGCUUACAGCAGGAAAGACCUGCCAUGGCCAAAUGCACAAGUUUGUUUCCCCUUAACAACUGUCAAUGGUUUUAAGAUUUUGAGAUGUAAUCAGUUACAGAGAUAACAAUCUCAAGGUAAAACAGAUACAGCUGCUGCUGUGGAACUAUCCUUUCAUUUCUUCCCCGUAUUCAGAGCAUUUUCAACAUUAAUUUUCACAUACACUUUAUGUCACAUAAUUUCUCUCUCAACAUUUAUUUAUUUGUACGUGAUUUUUAUGCUUACAGCUUACAAGCUAUCUGCCACAAAAGCUUUAAGAAUGCAGAAUGGAUUUCUCUACGGUCAUGAUCCGAAGGGAAUUUUAUCAGGGAGUUUCUGGGUUUGUUAUGGAGCAAAAGGUAAACAAAGGCACCUACAAGCUGGGAAGAUGGGCUUAGAUUUAUCUGGGGCAGAUGGAUGCUGUCCUUACCAUGAACCCACGGCUCUUCUCUCCACCUGCAGAAUGUAUUUGUUCUUCUGUUGUACUGCACUUCUGCACUGAGAAUGAAGAGACUCAGUCCUGCUAAUAGACUGAGAAAAGAGAUUAAGCAUACAAGCUAAGGAUUCUGCAUAUUGAAAUACAGUAAAUCUGAAAAAUACUGGAAGACAUUGGUGGUUUGCUGGAGGUAAGGUUUAAUUUUGCACUGAAAAUAUGGUAUUAUGGUAUGUAUUCUGCCCUAAAUCAUAGCAUUAGGCCUGGGAGUAUUAAACAAUUUUUUGGGAACUUACAGAUAGCAAUUUAUAAUUAGGGAUGAAUUAAAGAGGUCUAAUAGAGUACAUAGAGAAACCCUGAAUGUAAAGUAAUAGGUUUUGGGGUUGUUGCCACAUUGUACUUUAAAUCCCUGCCAGAUAGUUUUGACUCGUAUUUUAACAUGAUUUGUUUGGAAAUAAACCAGAAAUUAGCGACACACUGCCAGGCUAUGCAGUAUUUCAGUCUGAAUGGUGUCCACUUACUUACAUUCUAACUUACAAUUUUCACGUGGUCCUUUUCCUCGGCGUCAUAAACUAAUGACUAAUUCACACCAUCAGCAUGUUGCCACUGCAAACUGGCAAUAAGAAGAAAAAAGAGGAAAAAUGCAGUGUGUAAAGAGCUUGCUCACUCGUCAGAGUUUUCAAUAUGAACAAUAUGCAACACCAAAUGUUCUGUGGUACAUCUUACACAAGCCUUAGAAAUGGGAGGCUUUGUAACAGCGUGCCUCCAUCCCUUUCUAGGAAGGGAAAGAACAACGCCAUUUUAUGCUUUAAAAAGCUAUCAUAAUGGGUAAUGACUUCAUAAGAGCAUAUAGAGGAAGUGGAAUAUGUACAUUUAAUCAAAUAAAAUUAGUGUCUGUAUUUAGCUAUUCAGUGUAGUGCCUUCACGAAGGAUAGCGCUCAAUGGUGAGUCACACAAAUCCCAUGAAUGCUGUUGGCCGUGGGUACAGUAGAUACAGUGGGCUUGGUGAGUUCAUAAGAAGCCUCACAUUUUGCUCAUCAUUUAAGAUGAUGGGAGAGGAGGAACAAUUUUUUAGCAUCCUCAUCCUUCACCUCUAUGCAAAUUUACAAUUCAGCUGCACAUUUCCUAGCACUGAGAUGGGAAUGGCUUUGAAGGCCUACAUAGAAAGUGUCCUUCCUCGAAUAGAGUACCAUCUAACUUAAUGACAAACAUAUACAAAAAUGCAGAGUGCCUGUUUUAGUAAAAACACACUAUUUUUAAUGCAGAUCUUUGGCCAACUGAUCGGACCUCCAUCUAACUUCCUGGGGACAAUAUUCUUCUCAGGAGCUAUAUUAUUGUCUCUCAGGUUACCUGUCUAUUUCACUAGUGUAAGCUCCUCAGCAAUUUGGGCUGCAUCAUUUCCACAAUGCUUGCAACAGUUCGACCUACCAUCAUUUAUGCAAAAAGAUGUGCUUGAGCACUGGAUUACAUCACAGAAAUCUGCAUUUUGUUCUUUCAUCUGCAGGUCACCUGGACAGGUACCUGGCAAGGCUAUCUCCCUAUGCCUCAGCUGCUUCACCUGCAAAGUGGGGAUAAUGACAUUCAGUCGCUUUUUAAAACCAUUUUAAGGUAUACAUAAUUAAUUGCUUAGCAGUGUGGAUUCUCCCCGGGGGAUAUCAUGCAGCUGCCAAUAAAUUGACUCAUCCACUUUCCUAUUACCGUUUUUAUUUAAACAUUCACUAUUUUUUUUUCCUGUGACAUAGCAAAACACCCAUUUUGCCAAACAGCAAUUGCAAGGAAGCUUUUAUCCAGCACAAGAGUAAUUAGAAUCAUGGAGAAGCGAUGAGAUUGCCAUCAGCUCUGAGCUUGAGGGACUGUCCUGUAUUUUAAGUUCAAGAAAUCCAAGCAGCAAAAAGUUUCCAGUUCAAGUCUGCCCUCCGCUGGUAUUAAUGAAACACUGCUAAUGAAUUUUGAAUCAAUAUUGUCUUUGUGUAACAAAGGAGGGGAACUAAAUCCAUAGAGGCUGACACAGAUGACACCUUUAGAUAACUUUAUUUUUUUUCAUUUUUUAUAAUAAAGACUUUGUAAAUAUCUUCUUUUAAAGGCUCAUGUAGGCUCACUGCCUGAUUCCUAUUCUUCAGGCUUUUGAAAGCCCGCCAGCAUUUCAUUCCCAUCAGACAGCUGCCAAAACUAACAUACACGCGAGAAGUAAUUUUCUGCACAUGUUUUUUAAGGGAUUUAAUAGAAAAGCUGCAGAAAAAUAUUAUGCUAUGAUACAAUUAACAAUUCUAAUAUACUGUGCUAUACAUGUCAGCCCAGUAAUAACGUCAUAAAAGAGACCAGUGUCAGUCUAGUCUAGCAUCCUCU
ensembl:lncRNA